GAUGAACGCUGGCGGCGUGCCUAAUACAUGCAAGUCGAGCGAACAGACGAGGAGCUUGCUCCUCUGACGUUAGCGGCGGACGGGUGAGUAACACGUGGAUAACCUACCUAUAAGACUGGGAUAACUUCGGGAAACCGGAGCUAAUACCGGAUAAUAUAUUGAACCGCAUGGUUCCAUAGUGAAUGACGGUUUUUCUGUCACUUAUAGAUUGAUCCGCGCCGCAUUAGCUAGUUGGUAAGGUAACGGCUUACCAAGGCAACGAUGCGUAGCCGACCUGAUAGGGUGAACGGCCAAACUGGAACUGAGACACGGUCCAGACGCCUACGGGAGGCAGCAGAAGGGAAUAUUCCGCAAUGGGCGAAAGCAUGACGGAGCAACGCCGCGUGAGUGAUGAAGGUCUUCGGAUCGUAAAACUCUGUUAUUAGGGAAGAAAAAAUGUGUAAGUAACUAUGCACGUCUUGACGGUAACUAAUAAGAAAGCCACGGCUAACUACGUG
rnacentral:rRNA from 1 species